rnacentral:rRNA from 1 species
UACGGGGGGGGCAAGCGUUGUUCGGAAUUACUGGGCGUAAAGGGCUCGUAGGCGGCCAACUAAGUCAGACGUGAAAUCCCUCGGCUUAACCGGGGAACUGCAUCUGAUACUGGAUGGCUUGAGAUUGGGAGAGGGAUGCGGAAUUCCAGGUGUAGCGGUGAAAUGCGUAGAUAUCAGGAGGAACACCGGUGGCGAAGGCGGGUCUCUGGGAAGUAACUGACGCUGAGAAGCGAAAGCAUGGGUAGCAAACAGG